UCAGCCUCCUGAGUACCUGGGACCACAGGCACGUGCCACCAUUCCCGGCUAAAAGAAAUAUAUGCCUAUUCCGACGUUUGUGUGUCACACUUGGCAACUGACGUGGGAGUUUGAAGAUCUGUACCUAACGCAGAAAGCAUUUCAUUUUUUUAAAAUUUGAUGUCUAAAAUUUUUCAGUAAUUCGCAAGUUUUAAUUUUUCUUGUGAGACUUGGUUCUCAUGAAUGUUUUCCAAAGUCUUUUUUUUUUUUUUUUUUUUGUAAACCCUUGGCAGGAAACUUAUUUCUAGCACUGGUAAAUAAAAAAAACAAGCUUUUAACAUACAGCUCAUACGGUAAGUAACGCUUGGCACUCGUUUCUUGCUUUUCUGAGCGUCUUAAACUUUCUUCGCUUUCUUUGCGAAGGAAACCUGCCCAGGUUUUCCUGUGUUCACUGGCUUUGGGGGCAGCUUUCACCUUAUUUUUGGCAGUCACUAAUCUCUGACCUAGAUGUUGCUUCUGUUCUCCUGGUGAUGGGCGUUACGGCUCUGCUGCUAUGGGGCUGGCCCAGCUCUGGGCCGACCUUCGUGCUGUGAAUGUGAAGAUAAGCAUCUUUCACAGAGUGGAUUCCGUCAUUGCUUUCACUGCUCUUUCGCCUGCUUUAGCUAGAUUUUUGGGUCUGUGAAAGUUGAGUGUACAACGGGAGGGACCGAAGCUUCCUUUUUCCCUCAUUGUUACCUAAUUGGAACUCGCCCAGAGGGAAUGGGUGGAGAAUUUGAGAGCAGUCACUAGCUGAGCGUCUGAAGAUGUGGGACAAAGCUGGUGUUGAUCUCCCUCUGACUGUUUUUAUUUUCAAGUUUCCACACAAAGCAUAGAUCCUUGUGGUAUGUGAUGUGCACUUUCAGACAUGAAGAAAAUCUCUUUUUAAUUCCAGGGUCCUCUGCUAUAAAUAACUUUUUUUUUUCAGAUUGUAAAUAUGUAACAAAUGUGUAGGGUCAAACUUAUGAAAACCAAAAUACGUGGGGCAAAAACACCUCACAAAUGAUCAGUUCCACCUGCUUUUACUUCCUUUGAAGGGAUUGUGUGAUUUAUUAUGCGAUUGUUUUAAAUUCAGUUUUUCAUUCAUUCGAGUUUCUCAAAGCUAGGUUAAACAAUUUCUUUUUCUUUUUUUUUCUUUUUUUUUGGAGACAGGGCCUCACUCUGUUUCGCAGGUUGGAGUGCAGUGGUGCAGUCACUAUUCACUGCAGCCUCGACCUCCCAGGCUUAGGUGAUCCUCCCACCUCAGCCUCCUGAGUAGCUGGGACUACAGGUGUGUGCCACCGUGCCCAGCUAAUUUUUUGUAUUUCUAUAGAGAUGGGGUCUCCCUCUGUUGCCCAGGCUGGUCUCAAACUUCUAGGCUCAAGCAGUCCCCCUGUCUUGGGCUCUCAAAGCCACAGGGGUUACAGGGAUGAGCCACCGCGCCGGGCCUGAAGUUAACCGAUUACAAUGUCUGAGAAAGAACUGGAGCGUGUAGUUAGUUGAGCCUCCCAUUGGCCAGGCACAGCCACCUUGGUAAGUGCACGUGUGUGUCCUUGUUGCCCUUCUGAUCCUGAGCUCCAAGGAACAAGGCUGUCUUGGGAGUGCGGUGGUUCCAGUCUCAUGAUGGGUGAGUGACGCCGUCUGACCGAGGUCACCGUGGCGAAUGCUGUGGCUGGUUGGCAGCUGGGGCAGAGAAGAGAAAGCCGCUGAGGGUCCCUCUGUGCACCCUGAAGGGAGAGGGACCGAGUGUGAACAUGGCAGCUGUUUUCUCCAGAGCCCUGUUUACUGAUGGCCAAAUGGGGUGAAUCCCGAGAAGGUUUGGAUUUGGGUCCGAACUGGACUCGUCUGGCCAUAGACGAACAUGAGCUGGUGGUGUCCUCGGGAAAUGAGGGCGUGAGGCGACUCGACACGGAUGGCUCCGGGUCCCUCCGGCCACUGUCCUGAAGCCAUCGGAGGCUGAGGACGCGUGGGAGUGAGCGUCUCUUCCCUGUCCAGCCACACCCUCUGUGACCGGUGACUCAUGGUGUGGCCCUGGGCAGCAUUUAGGUUUGAGGUCUGUAGAUGGCUCCAGUAUACCGGCUUCUAUUGGUCAGAAAAUUUUGUGAUUCUCAUCGGGGGUGAUUUUGCCCCAGGGGAUGUUUGCAACGUCCAGGGAGGUUUCUGCUUAGAACUGGGAGAAGGGAUGCUCCCAGCCUCUGGGGCUGGAGACAAGGGACGCUGCGGAACGUCCCUCCAAGCACAGGGCGGGCUGCAUAAGAGGAGUCUGGCUCAGGACGUCGCCGUGUUGUGCUUCAGAAGCCCUGGGCGGGUCUGAUGUGGUGAAGCCAUCGUCUUCUUUGGACACGUGCGUCCUCGUCCUCUCUCAUGAUUUCCUUCUUGCCUGCAUUGAUGCUUAGCUUGCGACGCAGCCCCUCAGAAUCUAUGCGGUGCUGAUGAGUGGUCUUCGGGCAGAACAGAAUGAAUGAAAUACCUUGGGGCAGGUGUGACACAUUCUCAGGAUAUGGCUGCAGGGAGUUUCAGUCAGACUCCUUUCAUUCCUUAGCGCUGGCGCAUUACUCCGUCCUGUAAGCUUGAUCAGGUCACAUCAGAAACACAGUAAGCUGGUGCCAUGCUGCCGUCAGCUGCCGCGAAGGUGGCAGUGACCACAGCCUCGUGAGUGGUUCACAGCCUGGCUGUGCUUGGUCUUGAGAGUUUUAUGCUUUCCUGGGCAGGGUCUCCCCCGUAUUGAAGAUUCCCUCCCCUUUUUUGGAGACCGAAGGAAGGAAAAGAGGAGUGAUAGGGAAGAGGGGGGAGAGGAUUUGCAGCAAUGUGGCCAUCCCCACAGAUUUCAAUGUGGAGUUAAGGUGCCGAGACCCCCAUCUGCCCUCCUGUGUGCCUCAGGCCCCUCCUGGUCCCAGGUCACCCAUACUGUCUGGCUUCCAGCGAGGGCUUCUCGGAGAACCAGCUCCCCGCAGCCAGUCUUGGUCAGUCCUGAGCGCGGGUAUUCCACAGUAAAGUGAGUGACACCACCUGUCUGAAAAGCAUAAGGAGCCUCCCACGUGGCGGUGCUGAGGGGCCACAUCCUGGGCACCAGGCCAGCCAGUGCCCCCACAUGAGUGUUGCUGGCUGGGAAACAGCUGGCAUUUGGAUUGAAGUCCUGCAAAAACUGCCAUGGCCAGAGCCUGCAAGGCAGAGCCUGCACAGAGCGGCCCAAGCGCUGGGCACGUGCUGGGCCUGGGUGGACAUGGAGGCCAUGCCAUGGGGAGCGGGGGACCCUGCUCACAGCUCACCUUGUGGUCCCCCAGCACUGACCCACCCGCCCCACCCUCCUACCCACCACGCUGUGAACUCACCUGCCAUGGGUCUACACCCACUCUCUGAAGCCCUCGGCCCCCAUGGGCUCCAGGCCUUGGGAUGCUUUACGUUGCACCAGCGCUGCAGAGCCCAGAUCGGUCAGUGUCCAACUCUCCUGGGGAGGCGUGGGCCCCUCCCUGUGUCCCACCAGUAGCAUUUCUGCCACAGAUGCGGGGAUAUUCACAGUAAGAUGGACACGUUCAAGACCAUAAAUAGUUAGUUUUGCCACCAAGUGGAUGUGGGGCCACUUGGAGGUGGGAACAGUGGGCGUGUGGACCUGUCCUGCUGUGACUGGUUAACACCCUGAGGUGGAGUCUGGAAAACCCCGGUGUACACGGGCUCGAGAACCGCUCCCCUUUCUGAUACUGGAGCCCGUUUCCCAGUGGAACCCCAGAGCAGCCACUCAGGUUCUUGCUGGCCUGUGCCGCUUUGUGUGCGGCUUCCGAGGGCAGAAACGGCAGCUUCCCCCCGGAGAGCAGAGAUGUGGCGUGGGGCUGAGUGCGGCCCACCGGCUUACAAGAGCGCGUGCGACAUGGCCGAGGCGCGAGGCCGCCACCAGGAGCUUUGCAUCCCCCUGUGUGUGGUGCCGGCCACGAUUAGCAACAAUGUCCCAGGCACAGAAAUAAGCCUGGGCUCCGACACUGGCCUGAAUGCUGUCGUUGAGGUAAGAGAACCCCAUUUCGUCCCAUUGCUUUUCCUUCAUUUAUUUUAGCAACUUGUUUCUUCUGUGCUAAGAAUGAGCCAGAUUUAUUAUUACUCCUUUUCCCCCCUUUGUUAGCCUGGCUUUAUGUCACACUGGCCAGAACAGGGUAAAAUUUUUUUAGCUUCUCUGCCUUAGGGAGAGCCUGUCUUUACUGAUUACAAGUGAGAUGCUAUAUCCAGUCCUUGGGAUCGUGUUUCUAUCCCACCUAGACUAGGGGAGCUGCAGGCACCAUUUCUCUGGAGGCUGCCUCUCCUGCCUGCGCUGAGUAGUGAGGCUGCAGGGCCAGCUGUGGGAGCCUGCAGGAAGGGGUGUGAGUGCCCAGUAAGUACGAGCUCCGGGACAGAGCCGAGCCCACUGGGGGCCGCUGCCUGGAAAACAGCCUUCCUGGUGAGACGAGAGGCUCUUUAGAGAGCCGAAAUCACGCCCUCCUGGGCAGGCGGUUUCCCCAACAUGUGCCUUGGGAGGGGUGGAUUCUGCCGGUCAUGGGUGUGGUGCUGACGCCCGCAUCGUGGCCCCUCUGGUCCCUGAUACUCUGACCCACCUCCAUCGUCAUGAGCUGGACGUGAGGACCUAUGGUAGUUCCACAGGUCUUUGCUGCAGAGAGGGUCCUCACUCAUCUGCAGACAGGACGGUGGCCACCUUGGCAUGUGGGGUCACGUCCAUGACUUGGCCGCCUGGUGCGAGGGACCCGCAGAAAAGCACAGCCGCUGGCCGGGGUGGGCCUGCAUCGCGUGCGGGGACAGCAGCCGCUGGCCUUUACCUUAGAUGUUCAUGUCCAAGCCAGCUCCAGAGUUUGCGGUGAAAACUCCCAGCCCUGUUGGAGACUCCUUAGUUCAGCUUGGCACAGAACCUUGGAAAACAGCAGUUCUAUUCCAGGUACUUCCUUCAGAGCUGAGUUACAGUGCAGGGAAGGGAGCAGAGGGGCCACGAGGUCGGCUGAAGCUUCCUGUGCCUCUGAGCCUCAGCCUCCCACUCGAGCUGAGGGGUGUGUCCUGGCCAUCUCUCUCCUGGGCUUCUCCCUGUCGCAUUCCCCAGUGCUGUGGUGGCCUUGCAGAGGCUGGCCCUGGCUCGUUCCCAGGACUUCCCUGGGCCCCGCAAUUGACCCCUGUUGGGUGAAUGCCAUUGGGGUCCGGCCAUCGCUGGCUUCACUCUCCUUUAGCACCUCGUAGACGUCCACGCACGCUUCCACCCUUGCGCCCCACACGCGACGCAGCCCUACCCCGGCCAGCAGCUGUGCCUUGCUGUGGGUCCCUUGCUGUAGCAUGGACAGGACCCCCACCUCCUGUCCCAUCUGGCCACCGGCUUCAGCAGAGGCUCGGCUGCCAUGAGGGAUAACAGUCAUGGGAAAACUGGCCUCCCUGCAGAUUCACAGAGCAAGGCGGUUCUCACAGAGAAGUCAGUGGCUCUUUUCUACCUUAACACUGUAGCAAACGCCACCUUAUCUUUCACUACCAAUUUAUGUUUCUUAACACCCAUGGAGCAAAGUGCUGGUGAUGUUUGAACUGUAGCCUGGGGCUCUCACUCCCAUGGGACUCCUCGGGGAAUUUUCUAGCAGGAUCACCUGUGUACCCUUGCAAGGGGUGGUGUCUGCCGGGCGCAUCCCAUCGUGCAGGGGGAAUGGCUGAGGUCACAGGCAUUGCCUGACAAGUGCCACUCAUGGCUGCUGUCCACGUGCCAGGCCUGGGACACAGCCCCCUGCCAUCCUUCCGCCCACUUGGAAGCCAGGGAGGCACCUCCGUGCAACACUGCAGGCAGGCAGGGCCACACUUGGGAUCUGCCGCCUUCUUGUCAGUGCUAUUUUGACUAAUUGCCUGAGGCACGGCCGGAGUGACUUGCUAUUUUUAGAAGCUAAUUCAGGCUUCAGAUGCCAUCUAGGUAAUGAGGAGAGAGUUCAGGAAAGCUGUAUCUAAGCUCCAGCAAAGGCGGCCUCUUCCAUCCCAGCUGUCCCUGCGUUUACACUCAAAGGAGCACACGGGGGCGUGGCUCAGGUGUCAGGGCUGUGCUGUUCCACACCCCCCAGUGGCAGCCUGGCGGGACCAGAACUCAGACACGCUCGGGCACAAAUCAGCCUCUUGGGAGAGCUGCUUUGCCUACAGAAUUCUUUUGCCAUUAAGCGGUUGAUGUCAUUUUUUGAAUGAGUGACAGUAAUUCCCCACCUCAGGGUGGGCUGCAGGGGAGAUUCAGUUGGAAAAGUAACCCAUGAGGUUUUGUGCCUCUGGGGGUCCUGAGGCCCCACUCAUGCCGGGGAUUCUCUAAGACAAAGGACAAGUCUUAGAGCCUUACAGCGUCUUAAGUCUUAGAUCACAUUUAGAGAGAGACCCAGUACAGAUGGAACAGUGAAACCCUCAGAAUUCUGCACUGGCCCUUCAAGAAGGCAACUGUGGGCUCUUUUGACCCUUGAUGGGGUUCUGUCCUCUGUCCUAAGCACAAAGACGGGAAUUCUUCCCAUUGCCUGUUUCUCUCCCCUUCUCGGCUUCUACAAAGCAAAGCGGCCUGCUAACUAGAGCCCGUGUUCAGUUUUGAAUACAUCAACCAAGUAUUUUGGGAAGAAAACAAUCUGCCAGAGAAACUGGAAGUAUAGGUUGGAAUGGUUUAAUCAAGCCCGCAUUUAUUAAAGUGCGCUUUUAAAUUUCAUCCAAAGUACUCAAGUGGAAAUUUCCCAGUGGGUGUUAAACUUGGGUGCACAGACUCUCACGUGGCUCCUAGUCUCAAGUCCACACCGCCACUUCAUGCUCUUCCACUUGGCUGAGUCCCACAGAGGCCGGAUAGGGAAUCCUGCAGGAUCAGCCCUUGACCAGGACGGACGGACAGAUGGCUGGCUGGCUGGGGAAUACCGUGCUUAUGUCAUUCAGAGACAAGCUGUGUCUGGAGCGCCUGCUGUGGGGGCUCAGCUGGGUGCUGCUGCUGGUGCAGUGGUGUAAGCCCAGCCCACAGUUGCUGUCCUCAUGGAAUUUGCAGCCUAGUGAGGAAGAUCCUGCCAAGUCAAAUAACCAUGAGGUAACUGCAGGGAGAGACACCGGGAUAAUUUCUAUGAAGAGAGGACAUGGGGUGCUCCAGGAACCCCUGACAGAGGGAACUUUGUGGUCCUAGAAACCAGGCGGUGUUUUCCGGAGGAAAUGACAUUUCCCUCUGGAUCAGAGCUGAGGAAGGUGCCUGUGUGUGUCCCGUGGCCGCUGUGACACCACACACCUGGGGCUGGAAAAUAAUACUCUCCCACAGCUCUGGAGGGCAGGAGCCGUGGGCUGAGGCCAGGGUGUUUGCUCCAGGAGAGGCCCUCGUGGCCCGUUCAGGUGCCCAGAGCUGUGGGCCUUGCACGCCUUGUUCCCUGGCGCCUCCUCCUUCCAUGUGGGUGUGCAGCAUCCCGCUCCAGGGCCUUCAGCCUCUGCACCCCUCGUCUGCCGAUGCAGGUGAUGGCAUUUGGGGACCACCUCGGUAGUCCUCAGGAUUCACCUUUAUCACCGCAUGAGGGAACAUUCCCAGGUUCCAGGGAUUAGGACUGGGAUUCCUUUGGGGGCUGCUCUCCCGCCCACCACUGUGCCAGAACGUGAUGCACACAGCGGCCAGCAUAUCCAAAGGCCCCAGGAGGACCUGGGGUGGCUGGAUUGGGACCUGGUGUCGGGAGCAGGUGGGGCCGGGGAUUCCCGAGAAAGGCUUGACGUGUACUUGAAGCAAGCAAAGGGUUUUGAAUAAACCAAGAACUAGAUCAGA